UUCUUUAUGGAGAACGGAGAACCAACAGAAACAGAUCAGAUGGAACAUAAUGAUGGAUGCACACCAUUGACAAACAUCUCAAACACCAUUACUAUAGCUGAUGAAAAUGGAUCGAAAAGGCUUGGUCCAAAUGUCGAUGCUAAGGAACGUAAGAGGCAAAGGGAAAGGGAAAGAUAUGCCGCGAUGACCGUUGAACAAAAAAACGAGAAAAGUAGAAAACGUCGUGAAGCAAGCCAACGAAAUAAAGGACCUCCUAUACAGACAGAGGCAUCUAGAGUUAGUCUUUCAGAUGGCUGUAGCACAAUUGAUUUCACAAACUUUGCAACACAAGUUCCAAAUGUGAAUCGAGAUGAUGAUAGCGAUUGGUUGCAUAGGAAUGAGACAUUCAAGUCAGACGAUGUUUUCGCAACAAGAGACCUUCUGACACCAGGUACAUGACUGUUCACUCAACUAAUUUUGCAAAACAGCUGAUUUCAGGCGGUUUAACGUAUACAUGCCUUAUUCCAGGCGAUGUGCAUGAAACUGUUGGUAACACGCCUAACCAUAAUUUGGGAAGGGCUGCCUACUUUAGAGAGCGGUACAAAAACUUAACUCCAGCCGAGAGGGAGCUUAAUCGUGAA
rnacentral:misc_RNA from 1 species